GGGUUGUGAGGUUAAGCGACUAAGCGUACACGGUGGAUGCCCUGGCAGUCAGAGGCGAUGAAGGACGUGCUAAUCUGCGAUAAGCGUCGGUAAGGUGAUAUGAACCGUUAUAACCGGCGAUUUCCGAAUGGGGAAACCCAGUGUGUUUCGACACACUAUCAUUAACUGAAUCCAUAGGUUAAUGAGGCGAACCGGGGGAACUGAAACAUCUAAGUACCCCGAGGAAAAGAAAUCAACCGAGAUUCCCCCAGUAGCGGCGAGCGAACGGGGAGCAGCCCAGAGCCUGAAUCAGUGUGUGUGUUAGUGGAAGCGUCUGGAAAGGCGCGCGAUACAGGGUGACAGCCCCGUACACAAAAAUGCACAUGCUGUGAGCUCGAUGAGUAGGGCGGGACACGUGGUAUCCUGUCUGAAUAUGGGGGGACCAUCCUCCAAGGCUAAAUACUCCUGACUGACCGAUAGUGAACCAGUACCGUGAGGGAAAGGCGAAAAGAACCCCGGCGAGGGGAGUGAAAAAGAACCUGAAACCGUGUACGUACAAGCAGUGGGAGCCUCUUUAUGGGGUGACUGCGUACCUUUUGUAUAAUGGGUCAGCGACUUAUAUUCUGUAGCAAGGUUAACCGAAUAGGGGAGCCGAAGGGAAACCGAGUCUUAACUGGGCGUUAAGUUGCAGGGUAUAGACCCGAAACCCGGUGAUCUAGCCAUGGGCAGGUUGAAGGUUGGGUAACACUAACUGGAGGACCGAACCGACUAAUGUUGAAAAAUUAGCGGAUGACUUGUGGCUGGGGGUGAAAGGCCAAUCAAACCGGGAGAUAGCUGGUUCUCCCCGAAAGCUAUUUAGGUAGCGCCUCGUGAAUUCAUCUCCGGGGGUAGAGCACUGUUUCGGCAAGGGGGUCAUCCCGACUUACCAACCCGAUGCAAACUGCGAAUACCGGAGAAUGUUAUCACGGGAGACACACGGCGGGUGCUAACGUCCGUCGUGAAGAGGGAAACAACCCAGACCGCCAGCUAAGGUCCCAAAGUCAUGGUUAAGUGGGAAACGAUGUGGGAAGGCCCAGACAGCCAGGAUGUUGGCUUAGAAGCAGCCAUCAUUUAAAGAAAGCGUAAUAGCUCACUGGUCGAGUCGGCCUGCGCGGAAGAUGUAACGGGGCUAAACCAUGCACCGAAGCUGCGGCAGCGACGCUUAUGCGUUGUUGGGUAGGGGAGCGUUCUGUAAGCCUGUGAAGGUGUGCUGUGAGGCAUGCUGGAGGUAUCAGAAGUGCGAAUGCUGACAUAAGUAACGAUAAAGCGGGUGAAAAGCCCGCUCGCCGGAAGACCAAGGGUUCCUGUCCAACGUUAAUCGGGGCAGGGUGAGUCGACCCCUAAGGCGAGGCCGAAAGGCGUAGUCGAUGGGAAACAGGUUAAUAUUCCUGUACUUGGUGUUACUGCGAAGGGGGGACGGAGAAGGCUAUGUUGGCCGGGCGACGGUUGUCCCGGUUUAAGCGUGUAGGCUGGUUUUCCAGGCAAAUCCGGAAAAUCAAGGCUGAGGCGUGAUGACGAGGCACUACGGUGCUGAAGCAACAAAUGCCCUGCUUCCAGGAAAAGCCUCUAAGCAUCAGGUAACAUCAAAUCGUACCCCAAACCGACACAGGUGGUCAGGUAGAGAAUACCAAGGCGCUUGAGAGAACUCGGGUGAAGGAACUAGGCAAAAUGGUGCCGUAACUUCGGGAGAAGGCACGCUGAUAUGUAGGUGAAGCGACUUGCUCGUGGAGCUGAAAUCAGUCGAAGAUACCAGCUGGCUGCAACUGUUUAUUAAAAACACAGCACUGUGCAAACACGAAAGUGGACGUAUACGGUGUGACGCCUGCCCGGUGCCGGAAGGUUAAUUGAUGGGGUUAGCGGUAACGCGAAGCUCUUGAUCGAAGCCCCGGUAAACGGCGGCCGUAACUAUAACGGUCCUAAGGUAGCGAAAUUCCUUGUCGGGUAAGUUCCGACCUGCACGAAUGGCGUAAUGAUGGCCAGGCUGUCUCCACCCGAGACUCAGUGAAAUUGAACUCGCUGUGAAGAUGCAGUGUACCCGCGGCAAGACGGAAAGACCCCGUGAACCUUUACUAUAGCUUGACACUGAACAUUGAGCCUUGAUGUGUAGGAUAGGUGGGAGGCUUUGAAGUGUGGACGCCAGUCUGCAUGGAGCCGACCUUGAAAUACCACCCUUUAAUGUUUGAUGUUCUAACGUUGACCCGUAAUCCGGGUUGCGGACAGUGUCUGGUGGGUAGUUUGACUGGGGCGGUCUCCUCCUAAAGAGUAACGGAGGAGCACGAAGGUUGGCUAAUCCUGGUCGGACAUCAGGAGGUUAGUGCAAUGGCAUAAGCCAGCUUGACUGCGAGCGUGACGGCGCGAGCAGGUGCGAAAGCAGGUCAUAGUGAUCCGGUGGUUCUGAAUGGAAGGGCCAUCGCUCAACGGAUAAAAGGUACUCCGGGGAUAACAGGCUGAUACCGCCCAAGAGUUCAUAUCGACGGCGGUGUUUGGCACCUCGAUGUCGGCUCAUCACAUCCUGGGGCUGAAGUAGGUCCCAAGGGUAUGGCUGUUCGCCAUUUAAAGUGGUACGCGAGCUGGGUUUAGAACGUCGUGAGACAGUUCGGUCCCUAUCUGCCGUGGGCGCUGGAGAACUGAGGGGGGCUGCUCCUAGUACGAGAGGACCGGAGUGGACGCAUCACUGGUGUUCGGGUUGUCAUGCCAAUGGCACUGCCCGGUAGCUAAAUGCGGAAGAGAUAAGUGCUGAAAGCAUCUAAGCACGAAACUUGCCCCGAGAUGAGUUCUCCCUGAC
rnacentral:rRNA from 1 species